CCUAGUUUGCCUAUACGCGCGAUCAUUCAGUAUUCCCCCGUACUCGACAGCGUGAUAAACGCUCGGGAUAUCGUUCAGUAGCCACGCAGAUACUAAUUCAGAAGAAGGGCUUUUAGUCGUUCGAGCCGCUCCGUUUUAUCAAACGUGCUCGAUGUACAGUGAAUAAAAACCUGGUUCAUAAAGGCCAACAAUAUACCCAGUUAUAUUUUUUCAAUCGAAUAAUUUCAUUUCUUCGGAUUGGCGUUGUUUGUUUGUUCAUUUUAUACUUUUCAUCGUUGAUUCGGCGAUUAAUGCGUGCGUGUGUGUUUGUGUGUUUUUCAUAAAGAUGAAAGAUCUUUGAAUUAGUUUUUUAAAUCUUAAAAAGAAACGACGAUCUCAUUCCGAAAAAGUUAUAAUAACAUUGUAUCACGUCUCGAUAAAAAUAUCCAAUGUUAUUUCCGUAUCGUAAGAGAAAUUAAAUGCAGUUUCCCAGAUUAAAAAAGUUGCUGAUGUACUCAAGAAUAAAAACUUUCAUGUAGCGUUUGAAUAUUCGCCUCGAUCUAUAAAUUUUCUAACAACAAAUAAAAAUAGAAGAACAAAAUAGAUCGAAUCAUGCAUGAGUUUUUACUUACGAUAUCGGUCAUUUUUAACUGAACAGAAGCCAGUGGAUAAAAUUCAAUUAAAUUGAGCUUUGCCCGUCGAAAGAAGAAAUAAGUUUAUUCUUGUCAAGAAUGGUUGAAGUAAAAUUCACCUUUCCGAAACGAACGUAAGAUUUUUCCAUCCAAAUAUGUUCAAAUGUAAUAUUGGCUCGAGAAACGUCUAAAGAGUGUACAAAAUGAGCUGAUACUGCUGCAGCUUAGUAAUUUUCAAAUGUACCGGAAGUGCAGGAAAUAUAUCUUGUGAAUUGCCUACAGUGUACGACUACAUUUGGGAAGUGAUUCUUAGCGAUAACUAUUCUAUGAAAAAUGAAGAAAACCAGUCAAUCCUUUUUUUUAAAUAAUGGAUCCAAGUAAAUUUACCUUUUGAACGCGAUUGCCCAUGAUUUUUGUGCGGAUGCCGUAUGCAAGUUCGUAUGAAGUUAUGGCUGUCAGUAGCACGUGCUGCGUCCAUAUUUAUCGUGUUUAUAUGUGGAACCCCACGAAGCGUGAAAGACUCUACACCCCAAAAACAGUUCUCUUCCCUAUUCUGUCGAUGGCAAGCCUCACAGAAUCGUCUCAUCCUCGAGACGAGUUAAUAACGAUAAUAAUAAUGGUAAUGACAAUACUGUCGCUCAAUUAAAUGACAAGGACUCAUCGAUGAGUAACAAUAAGCAGCGCGGUUGUUGCACUUUGACGGUCAUUUAACGUUCUACCGUUUCUCAUUACUUGACGUACAAUAAAUAAUAGUAAACAAGGCGUGAAGAACACGUUCGUUCACAUAUUAACAGCUGUGUGAAACGUAUUUAAAAAUUUGUAUUACAAAGUAAAAGAAAGAAACGCGAUUUGCCUUUCCGACUGAUGAGAUAUUCUGGAACGUUGUUCAAGAAAUAAUCUCCCGUGUUGUCACACGAAUAAAUUAUUCCGCAUACAGUCUACAAUAGAGUAUGUAUAAUUGUACAAUUUUCUGACUGAUGCAAUAAUGGAGUAACGCGAAAGAAGUGUAAAGAUAUUGUACAUUAUUCUGUAAAUUCGCUGUACAGUAAUAUUGUAAAUUCUAUUGAAGUAAAUGGUAACGUAACAACCGCAAUGGAUAUUCCAUAAAUGGUCAUAGAGUUGAGAGCGUUCGAUGAAGUAAAAGAUGUUUGUAGGUAUAUGUGUUGCGUAUAAAUGCAUAUAGUAUAUAUAGCGGCUGUGUGUGUGACUCAUUCAUUCGCAUCUGUUUAAAUUUCGUUUAAAAUCGGCUACCGAUGGUACGGUAUUUAGGGUGUGACUCUUUCCUUACAAAUAGAUAAAAGAGUGCCAAGAUCUCCGACCUGAUGUAUCUUGAUUAGAAGCGCGAGUGCUUAAGAAAUGCUAAUAUUAGAUUUGUUAGGUCUUUCUAGUCAAUAAAUUGCGAACUGGUGGGUCGUAGCGUUUGGAGUAUGAAAUGAUGGUCUGAGGUUGAUGUUCUCUCACCUUUAUUUGACAAUAUCCAAAUUCCCUUCAAUACUCGGGUUAAUACGGGUCGCAAAGAACAGGGGUAUAUUCGGUUAAAUAGGAGCUGAAGGAGAAUAAAUGUCGUAUGAUAUUGAGGGUACGAUUGGUCUUAGAGCCAUUGCCACACCGUGUCACGGUAGACGGUACAGUACUAACAUACCAUAUAAAGUUACUGGGCACUGGGCACUGGAAAAUACAAGUGGUAGAGAGAUAGAAAAUGAGGAAUGGUGGCGCUAUCUGUGGAAAUGCACUUCAAGAAAUUGGAGAAAUUUCGAUCGAAGUUGUGCCUCCGCCGAUAUAAAGACUAAACUAUCUCCCUUCGCUAUCACCCACACAGAAUUUCACACCACCGCCCUUCCAAGGCUAACUGCAACUGCGAUCGCGAAAGAGAUCAUUUCACUGUAACAGGAAACCGAAAUACGAUUGCAGUAGUAGCAGAUUCGACAUGUAAUUUCAGAUAUUGAGGAAAUGAGAAAAUAAGAGAUCUCCUUAGUAUUUUUCUGACAUUCAUAUGUGUAAAAAAUCGAGAAACCGGAUCCCAUGACCUGACAAAGCUGGAUAGAUGAAGUGAAAUUUUUUUCAUCGUCCUUUGCACAGAUCUCGUAGAGAUACCGAGAAAUAGUUGACUUUUAUAUUCGUAAUUGAAUAUUUUGAGUGCUUGUCACGAUCGAUCAUAAUCCGUAAAUGGUACGAUAAAUUUGGAUGCACGUCCAUGCGUGCUGAGAAAACGGUAUCCUAUAACCGCAUGAAUAGUUUCAUGCAUUCCUUGUGGUAUACGUUUAAACAAAAUGCAUAAGUCGAGUGUUUAUUUUUAUUUAGUUUAAAACUCCGCCAGAUACGAGGGCUAUUUAUAGUGGAGGCAUGCUCAAACCCAGCUGUCAGAUAUCCCAUACAUACGUGGUUGCACCAAGGAUUUUGUGCCUACUUCGCAGUAAAUUCUAUACGGAAAUAAAAUUGAAAAAAUUGUGCCACGUGAAUUUGAUCACGCCUACGAUAAUUUGAUCCUCGGUUAGCUAGACGUCGUGUUCAAUGUUUUUUUCUCUUUUCAAGGAUCCUUGUCCAUUGCUAAAGAAGGUAACACAAAACGAUGGGGUGCAAGACUCUAAGAUUUUUGGCUCGUAUAGGCGGACCGGUGUGGUGGUGCGGCAGAUGAUAAAAGGAGUUGCGGACCUUCUUCAGCUACUGUACCAGCAAACGCACUUAGCCAUCUUGCACAUGGCGAUAAUUGUUCCCAGGUCAACCCAGAGACUCUAAACAACUUUCAUCCAAUGUUGCCAAAUCCAGGAGUUGAGCAGCUUGCGAAUAUUGGAGUCCUCCGUAUUGGGGAUAAACAAAUGCGUUCGGACGUGACCAAUCUCCGCAUUCCACCUGCAUAUAGAUAUUCAACCAGCCAGGCGCAGUUACUGGUGAAAGAUUCCAUCCCAGUCCUUUUAGAACGAUUAAUUCUUUGCCUAGUAUUUCGCUCUCUGUACAUGCACCAUCUGUGACAUACGCAAAUUCCGCUAUUUUGGCUAUGAACAAGCACGUGAUACCAAUCAGUUGUAGUUGACUUUUGGGUACAUUCUGAUGAGUGGAAAGGUAUCUAUCUAUAUAAUCCAUGGCCAAAUAAUAAGUCUCCCUGUGAAGCUUAUAAACUUCACAAACUUCUAUGAG